UAUACAUGCAGUCGAGCGGACAGAUGGGAGCUUGCUCCCUGAUGUUAGCGGCGGACGGGUGAGUAACACGUGGGUAACCUGCCUGUAAGACUGGGAUAACUCCGGGAAACCGGGGCUAAUACCGGAUGGUUGUUUGAACCGCAUGGUUCA
rnacentral:rRNA from 1 species